rfam:Ictidomys tridecemlineatus contig062524, whole genome shotgun sequence.
AGCUUUGCGCAGUGGCAGUAUCGUAGCCAAUGAGGUUUAUCCAAGGCGCGAUUAUUGCUAAUUGAAAACUUUUCCCAAUACCCUGCCAAUGACGACUUGAAAUAUAGUCGUCAUUGGUUAAAAAAAAAAAAAA